rnacentral:lncRNA from 1 species
AGGAUCUUGCAUGUACUUAGAGAGUUAGUUUGCAAAGAAUAGAACUUGAUAAUGCCUUGUGUCUAUCUGUUGCAUUGCUUGUGAUAUUGGGAAUCAAACUUGAUGAUCUAUUAAUCAAGUUUUGACAUCAAUACUAUUGAAAAUGGUGAAAUGCUUAAUGUCAGUUCUAAAUGAAACUUGUCUUGUUAAGAUGAUAGAUUGUAUUAUCUAAUCAUACUUGCUGUCAUGAGUAGAAACUGAUUAAGAUUAAUGCAUACUGCCUUGUUGCUGCCUUGUAUUGUUGCAUUUAGAUUAAAAGUCUAAGUAGCAUAUUAAGGAGUGGUUAAAAUUGCCUAAUACUUUGACUUGAAUCUGAUAAGGUCUUGCUUAGUAUUUAGAGAAUGGUUGCUUGCAUAGAUAAGAACUUGACAGUGUCUUGAUUCUAUCUAAUGUUAUAAAGCUUGAGACAUUGGUGAUCAAACUUGAUGAAGUCAAGGAUUGAUCCCAAUGCAAUUGUGUCUUAUCUUUGCUGGAGUUUGAGUGGUGUUUCAGGUUCACAAGAAGUGUUCUUUGCUCACCAUCCAUCCAAGUAGAAGAGGAAGACUUUGCCAUUGUUAAAGCAAUGGAGAAAGACUAGUGUGUAUGGCCGGUUAAGAUAGCGCAGCUAGUGAUAGUGAUGUGCUCCUGGUUCAUGGAGACACACAAGUAAAGGUCAUCACCUAAGUCUUGGGGAGACUGAUGACCUGAAGGCAUUGGAGCUGAAGGCAAUGACAGAUCGGUUGGGUUAAGCGCAGCUGUAGGUAGUGAUGCGCUCCCGUUUUGAAGUCUCAUUGAGGCUCACUUCAAGCUUGCACCUAUACUAAGUCAAGCUUGAGGUGUGGAUUCAAGUGAGCUACCGGACGAUCCUCUAAGCUCAAUGACCUGGUUCCUCAAGGCCAUUGCAAGCUGAU